rnacentral:rRNA from 1 species
GACGAACGCUGGCGGCGUGCUUAACACAUGUAAGUCGAACGGGCCUUGUCCCCUUUUUUUUUGGGGGUGGGGUUAGUGGCGAACGGGUGAGUAACACGUGAGUAACCUGCCCCUCACUUCUGGAUAACCGCUUGAAAGGGUGGCUAAUACGGGGUGUUCUGUCCUGCUCGCAUGGGUGGGUUUGGAAAGAUUCGACCGGUUUUGGUUGUUUUGGUGGGGGAUGGGCUCGCGGCCUAUCAGCUUGUUGGUGGGGUGAUGGCCUGCCAAGGCUUUGACGGGUAGCCGGCCUGAGAGGGUGGGCGGUCACACUGGGACUGAGACACGGCCCAGACUCCUACGGGAGGCAGCAGUGGGGAAUAUUGCACAAUGGGCGCAAGCCUGAUGCAGCGACGCCGCGUGAGGGAUGGAGGCCUUCGGGUUGUGAACCUCUUUCGCCAGUGAAGAAGGUCCUGCUCUUUGUGGUGGGGUUGACGGUAGCUGGGUUAAUGAAGCGCCGGCUAACUACGUG